UGGUGGAGUGAUUUGUCUGGUUAAUUCCGAUAACGAACGAGACCUCAACUUAUUAACUAGUGGUGCCAAACUUCUACAUGGGUGAAGCUAGGAUUAGGUCUCGAUACGCCUUCACGGGUGGCAUCGAGUCGGCCUAGUGGAUCCUUGAUGCUUUGGCGCUUUAUCUUUACUUCUUAAAGGGACUAUCCAUGUUUAAUGGGUGGAAGUGAGGCAAUAACA
rnacentral:rRNA from 1 species